UCAGCAUUUUCCAGAGAAACAGAACCAGUAGGGUGGCUGGCUGGCUGGAUGAUUGGAUGAAAAGAUAUAUAAGGGUCUACUAUAGAAAUUGGCUUGUGAAAUUAUGGAAGGUGAGAAUUCCCACGAUAUGUCAAGCAAGCUGGAGAGCUAGGAAAGUUAGUAGCCUAGAGCAGUCCAAAUCUGUAGGCCUGGAAACUGGGGGGCCAUGGUAAAACUCUUAGUGUAAGGCUGAAGGCCUGAGAAGCUGGAAGGCCCCUGGUAUAAGUCUCAGAUGCUGAAAGCCGAAGAGGCUGGAGUUCUGAUAACCAAAGGCAAGAGAAGAAGGCUACCCUUGAUCCCCAAAAAGACAUUGAAUUUUGUCCUAUCCGGGCCCUCAACAGAUUGGUGCCCACUAUGUUGGCUGAGGCAGAUCUUUCUUCAUUGAUUCACAUGCCAGUCUCUUCCACAAGCAGCCUUAUAGACAUAAUCAGAAAUGCUUUACCAGCUAUUUGGAUGUCCUUAGCUGAGGCAAAUUAACCCCUAAGAGUCUCCAUCCCAGGUUAUGGCCUUAGACUUUUUAUUAAUUUUAUUUUGCCACAUAUUUAGCAUUAAAGCUUCUUAGUCUCUAAUUUCAAGAUAGUUUCAUAAAUGCAUUAUUCAAUUUAUAUUAUCUAAUUUGGGAUAGUUUAAAUGAAAUUGGUUUAAGGGCUUUCUUUUUAUUUAAAUCAUAAUCUAGUCCAGUGAGAAGUUGUUUGCUCAUAAAAUAGGUAGAACAAAUAUGUCUUCUGGACAAUUUUCACCAUGCGCAAACCUCCCUGUGGUAUUUGGAAGUUUUUAUUGUUAGGCCAGCCUCAGACCUGGCUAUCUGUUUUUCCCAGAACAAGAACACUUGUUCAGUUAUUGUCUUCUCAGAUCCUAACGUUAUGAAACUGAUUUCCUUGCUUCCCUGGGCUGUGUUUUUGACAUUAUGGUACUGAACGACAAGUUAACCAUUAUCUUUUGGUAAAUUUCAUGAUGCUUUUCUGUUCAUAUAGGGCCUCAUCAGUCAAAUUAAAUUUUUUCCAUCUGGCACCAGUGUCCAAGGUAGAUUUAUUUUAGAGAGCCUGAAGAAAUUGCUGUUUCCAGGCCUCUCAUGCUCACAGGCCCUGUGGAUACUGGGAGGUGCUGGAAGUAGUGUUCUAAGUGGGGAAGGGAAUCCAGUCAGCACAAGAAGCAUUUCUAGGUAAGCAUCUCUAAAGAGAUGUCAAAAGAAAGAUCUGAGUUUCCAAGACUCCAGUAAUUUAUUACGGGUUUCUUUAAAUACCAAGUAGAUGUCUUUCUGUACCUAAAUUUGAAUUUGUAAUCAUGUAUCCUUUUCUACAAAGGGGCCCUGAGAGCCAUCUAAGCUUCCAAACCCAUAAAGCCUACAUCUGCCCUAACCAGCGUUGUUUAAUCCAGAUGACUGUUUCUAAAUUCACACUUCAUUAUGUUUUUAGAUAAUUUUUGAAGCCACUCGGGGAGUGUCAAUAAGAAGUGAUAUUGCCAUUGAUGAUGUUAAAUUUCAGGCAGGACCCUGUGCAGAGAUGGAAGAUACAGCUCAACAAUCAUCAGGAUAUGCUGAAGAUUUAAAUGAAAUUGAUUAUUAAGAAGUGAUCUAAAUUGGAUUAACUAAACAAAAGCUAUACCUCUCUUCAAUCAAAAUGGAAACAAAUGAAUACUGGACAGCCUUAACCAUUUCAUAAGUUAUAUAAAAUGACUUCACAGCAUCCUUUCUCAUUCUUUUUUUUUUUUU